AAAGAAGGGAUGCCCAAAGGUGGUUGUGCGUAAGAGAUACUAUGGCAUGGAAAAGGGAUUUCAAAGUGAAAAAAAAGUUGGGAUGCCCCCUCUUCCUAUCUUUUCUUUCUUACAACUAAUCGUUGGUUGUUGAAGGUAACCUCCUCUCUCUCCCUUAUCCAAGAGUUGAAUAUGUCUCCCUCUUCCUUUCUUCCAAAGAUGUCCAACAGUUGGACAUGAUUUAAAUUAGAUUUGAUCUGAUUUAUUUUUGGUUCAUGAGAUGGACGGUUCUUCUGUACCUUUUUUAGAUCUAGUCCAAGGGUUG
rnacentral:lncRNA from 1 species